AAAAAAAGACGUAAACUGGGUUGAGACUGAGCUAAAGUUAAUCUGUGGCGACGUUCUGGAUGUACUGGACAAACACCUCAUUCCAGCAGCUACAACUGGCAAGUCCAAGGUUUUCUAUCAUGAAAUGUAGGUUCUAUACUAACAAUUAACAAGUGUACUUCAAUAAAUUUAAACAUUCUCAGGAAUAGUUGACUUUGUUUCUUUUUUUCUUAGACAUUUCAUAUUAUUUUCCUUAUUAAAUAUAACCAAAAAUCCCACAGAAAUUAACUGAGGAGCCUCUAAAUAUCAACAAAAUUAUCACUUGAUAGACUAGAA
rnacentral:lncRNA from 1 species